rnacentral:lncRNA from 1 species
GCUUCUCUUCUCGCAGGGAUGGAUUAGAAAUAACCACCAGUAGUGACUCCAGAGGAGCUGGCCGUCUGCAGAGGCUGGAAUGUCUUGACUACAGCUGCUGACCUGUUGCUGUACACUGCCGGUCCCCCGUGAUGUCAGCCCCAGGUGGUCUUGCUUCUUCUCCAGCUCCUGAAGAAGAUGGAUCCACAAUGAGCCAUGUAAUUUCCCUCGUGCAUUUUCUGAGCCAGUGGUGGAUCAGAGAGCUAGAAGAGGCUUCAGAAGAUGCAUGAGUGGCGUCUCUUUCUUCCAACAGGGCUGCCUCUCUUAGCAAGGGGCAACUUCAGAUGGAAGGCUGCCUCCUGGCUGAAAGUGGGGAAAAGAGAAAUAAUCCGAAUACUUGGAAUUCCAAAAGUUGUGCUGUGCCAGGGAAACACAUACGAUAGAGCGUGCUGAAGUCAGUUCUCACCUUCCACCACGUGGGGUCCUGGGGACCAAACUCAGGUCAUCAGGCGUGGUGGUAAGCGUCUUCACCUGAUGACCCAUCUUGCUGGCCCCCAAGAAACGGGUUAAAACAAUACUGUUUCCUAGCACUCGAAGAGACUUUAUUGUUGAUUUUAUGGUUCCUGGCAGUCAUCCAGGUUGGGUUUCCCUCCCUUCAUUAAACCCCUCUCACACACACAA